GCACAAGCGGUGGAGCAUGUGGUUUAAUUCGACGCAACGCGAAGAACCUUACCUGGGCUCGAAAUGUUAUGGACCGGAGUGGAAACAUUCCUUCCCCGCAAGGGGCCGUAAUAUAGGUGCUGCAUGGCUGUCGUCAGCUCGUGUCGUGAGAUGUUGGGUUAAGUCCCGCAACGAGCGCAACCCUUAUCUUCAGUUGCUACCAUUUAGUUGAGCACUCUGACGAAACCGCCUCGGAUAACGGGGAGGAAGGUGGGGAUGACGUCAAGUCCUCAUGGCCUUUAUGUCCAGGGCUACACACGUGCUACAAUGGCCGGUACAAACCGUCGCAAACCCGUGAGGGGGAGCUAAUCGGAAAAAGCCGGCCUCAGUUCGGAUUGGAGUCUGCAACUCGACUCCAUGAAGCUGGAAUCGCUAGUAAUCGCGGAUCAGAAUGCCGCGGUGAAUACGUUCCCGGGC
rnacentral:rRNA from 1 species